rnacentral:lncRNA from 1 species
ACAUCUCAAAAAAUUAUUACAAAAUAAUUAAUUAAAAAUAUAAAAAACCCCUAAACCCUACUUUAAAUAAACAAAACUCUAACCCUAAACCCUAAUUUUAAUAAACAAAACCCUAACCCUAUUAAAAACGGUGCUGGAAAAAUCAAGGGAAAAUAGCUUCCUGUUAGAAGUGCUUUUGCUGAAAAUGGUAGAAAGAAUUUCCAGUUGCAAUUAUCUUUUUGCGUAUCACUUGAAAAAUCUUCUAACUAAAAGCGUUUUUCAAAAAUGGGUCCACUCUCGUGAAUCGGCCUAAUCCCGUCAAUAUUUUAUUUUUUGGCCAUUUAAUGGAAAAUUAGUCUUGACCUCCAUUUUAAAGGAAAUUAACUUUUUUUUACAAUACUAUUUGUAAUAGCCCAAAUUCGCUCGGCCCAAAUCAAAAAAUAAACAAUAAAUAAAACAAAAAAUUAAAUGUCCAAAUAGUCCUUUUACACUGGGCCCAAUAAGGCCCGAACUAAACACAACCCACUACCCAAAACCAAAGCCCUAAAACCUAAUCCCUAGCCCGAUUACAGAAGCCCAAUCCCUAGCCCGAUAACCGAAAACCCUAGCAACAGCAGAGGUCUCCUGUGCCGCUGCUACCCACACCUCCCCCAUGUGCGCAGUGCCACGUCUACCUCUUACACACGCCUUCGCCUCCGUACGUGCCGCGUCCAGACCCUGCGCUCUGUACCUGUAAGAGACGCACACAAAAAGCAGCAAAAAUAGACACAAAACAGAGAAGGGAGAGAAGAAAGAAAUAAGAAAGCGGGGAAGGGAUUUUUUUAAAAAAGCUGUGCCGAGAGAGAGAGAGCUUUAGUUUUUUUAAAAAAGAAGGAUAAGAGUGUUAGGGUUUUGUUAUGUUUGUUUUAGUUUUAAUCGCA